rnacentral:rRNA from 1 species
AAGGGCGGAGGAUGGGAGCUUGCUCCCAGACCGUCGCGGCGGACGGGUGAGUAACACGUGGGCAACCUGCCUGUAAGACUGGGAUAACUCCGGGAAACCGGGGCUAAUACCGGAUAAUUCUUUCCCUCACAUGAGGAAAAGCUGAAAGAUGGCAUCUCGCUAUCACUUACAGAUGGGCCCGCGGCGCAUUAGCUAGUUGGUGAGGUAACGGCUCACCAAGGCCACGAUGCGUAGCCGACCUGAGAGGGUGAUCGGCCACACUGGGACUGAGACACGGCCCAGACUCCUACGGGAGGCAGCAGUAGGGAAUCUUCCGCAAUGGACGAAAGUCUGACGGAGCAACGCCGCGUGAGUGAUGAAGGUUUUCGGAUCGUAAAACUCUGUUGUCAGGGAAGAACAAGUACCGGAGUAACUGCCGGUACCUUGACGGUACCUGACCAGAAAGCCACGGCUAACUACGUGCCAGCAGCCGCGGUAAUACGUAGGUGGCAAGCGUUGUCCGGAAUUAUUGGGCGUAAAGCGCGCGCAGGCGGUUCCUUAAGUCUGAUGUGAAAGCCCCCGGCUCAACCGGGGAGGGUCAUUGGAAACUGGGGAACUUGAGUGCAGAAGACAAGAGUGUAAUUCCCCCGUGUAGCUGAGAAAUGCGUAGAGAUGUCGACGAACACCGGUGUCGACCGCGACUCUUUGCUCUGUAACUGACCCCUGAGGCACUCCAGCGUGCGCAGCAGACAUCAUUAUAAUACCGUGUCAUCGACCCCCCUAAGUAUGACUGGUAGCUGUUAGAUGAUAUCCACCGUAUAGUGGGGCAGCGAUUUAUUAAAAUAUCCCC